AUUGAACGCUGGCGGCAGGCCUAACACAUGCAAGUCGAACGAGCGGCGGACGGGUGAGUAAUGUCUGGGAAACUGCCCGAUGGAGGGGGAUAACUACUGGAAACGGUAGCUAAUACCGCAUACCAUCGGAUGUGCCCAGAUGGGAUUAGCUAGUAGGUGGGGUAAAGGCUCACCUAGGCGACGAUCCCUAGCUGGUCUGAGAGGAUGACCAGCCACACGGGAACUGAGAAACGGUCCAGACUCCUACGGGAGGCAGCAGUGGGGAAUAUUGCACAAUGGGCGCAAGCCUGAUGCAGCCAUGCCGCGUGUAUGAAGAAGGCCUUCGGGUUGUAAAGUACUUUCAGCGGGGAGGCGUUACCCACAGAAGAAGCACCGGCUAACUCCGUGCCAGCAGCCGCGGUAAUAC
rnacentral:rRNA from 1 species